rnacentral:rRNA from 1 species
AACGAACGCUGGCGGCAUGCCUAACACAUGCAAGUCGAACGAGACCUUCGGGUCUAGCGGCGCACGGGUGCGUAACGCGUGGGAACCUGCCCUUAGGUUCGGAAUAACUCCCCGAAAGGGGUGCUAAUACCGGCUAAUGUAUUCGGACCAAAGAUUUAUCGCCUUUGGUUGGGCCCGCGUUGGAUUAGCUGGUUGGUAGGGUAAAAGCCUACCAGGGCGACGCUCGAUAGCUGGUCUGAGAGGAUGCGCAGCCACACUGGGACGGGGACACGGCCCAGACUCUUACGGGAUGCAGGAGUGGGUAAUACUGGACUAUCGGCGAAAUGCUGAACCAGUAAGGCCUCGAGAGUGAUGAAGGCCUUAGGGUUGUAAAGCACGUUUACCCGGGAUUAUAAUGACAGUACCGGGAGAAUAAGCACCGGCUAACUCCGUG